GCUAACAAAAUCGUUAGUUUCUCCCGUCAAACAGCACCAGUUGCUGCUUGAUCCAAAAGGAGAUGGGGUUAUAUCAGCCUUAUCAACCAAAUGAUACGAGGAGUCUGGAAGGACUCCACUUUU
rnacentral:tmRNA from 1 species